UACGAAGGGGGCUAGCGUUGCUCGGAAUUACUGGGCGUAAAGCGCACGUAGGCGGCUUUGUAAGUUAGAGGUGAAAGCCCAGGGCUCAACCCUGGAAUUGCCUUUAAGACUGCAUCGCUUGAACAUCGGAGAGGUAAGUGGAAUUCCGAGUGUAGAGGUGAAAUUCGUAGAUAUUCAGAAGAACACCAGUGGCGAAGGCGACUUACUGGACGAUUGUUGACGCUGAGGUGCGAAAGCGUGGGGAGCAAACAGG
rnacentral:rRNA from 1 species